UUGGUUCCAAACUCCUUGGCUACUGUGCUGUGUUAUUCAUCAGAAUUCAUCCAGCGAGCAUCACAAGAAAGCGGAGUGCUCGCGGCAUUCGCGCUAAUCAUUCGUCGCUCUGUGAUUGUGAGAGUGGUGCGAAUUUGCAGCCUCCGAAUAUACAAAUAAUUUAUCACCGUGGCUAAGAAGAUGGACAUCGAUGAGAGUACACAGGAAGGAGAUGAAGUUAGCCAAUAUAUCAUCAAUGACACUUUAAGUGAGCAGGACUUCCACGAUCAUAGAGAUCUCUUUCGACAUGAUAAUUUUGAAAUCGAAGAUGACUGGAUACACAGUGAUGUUGAAAUGGAGCAUGAAAGUGACUGUAAGCAUAUCAAUCUAUCUGGAGUUGAAGAAGAUUUUAUUUCAAUAACUGGAGUGACAUCAAAUGAAUUUGUUUUAAUGAUGGUAGCGUUUAUGCUCAAACACAAGAUUUCAUAUGAUGGUCUUACCGAUUUACUAGAUUUGAUUAACAAUGUCCACCCAAAAGCAAAAGAAAAAAAUCUAUUUUACGGCACGAAAAUAACUACAUAUAAAGUUCGUAAAUUUUUUACAAAAAAAUACUCAUUUGUAAAAAAAAAUUACUGUUCAACUUGCAUUAAAAAUUUAGAACACUCCGAGCAAUGCAAAAAAACGCUUUGCUUGAAAAAAAAGUUGGCUCCAUCAAAUUUCAUUUAUUUUCCAAUGCAAGAUCAACUACAGUGUAUAUUUCAGCGAAACAACAUCCAAGGAUUUAUACGUAACAAGCACAUGCGUGUUAAGAAAUUCCCUGAAAAUUACGAAUCCAUUGUUGAUGGCAGCGUGUACAAUU